CUCCAUUUUAGGGUUACCGUAGUUCAUAUAUGAAAAAGUAACACUUCUUUUACUUUACUCAUUUUAGGACCUCCCUUAACUUGGCAAACAUACAAGGCCAUUACUAAAGGGUGCAUACGUCAUGGAAAUUUUCCUGUCUUAGUUCAAGAUGGCAUCUUAAAGUCUGAACAUCCUUAUCUACUAAGGUUACCACAGUAUAUUACAUACUGAAAGAGUCGUAGCAUAGCCUUGAAGCUUGUUUAUGCAUUAUUGUUAUUGUAAUUCGUCUGGGACAAAAUGGUGCAAACAUAUUAUGCACUGAGGUUAUUGCUUAAAGAAACAGUUAUGAAAAAUAAUAUGUUCCAUUUCUAACACCUUGUCAGUUUGCAAUAUC